rnacentral:rRNA from 1 species
GACGGAAGGUGCAAGCGUUGCUCGGAAUCACUGGGCGUAAAGGGUGCGUCGGCGGCCGCGCAAGUCUGGCGUGAAAGCCCCGGGCUCAGCCCGGGAAGGGCGCUCGAAACGGCGCGGCUCGAGUGCCGGAGGGGAGAGUGGAAUUCCUGGUGUAGCGGUGAAAUGCGUAGAUAUCAGGAGGAAUACCGGUGGCGAAAGCGACUCUCUGGACGGCAACUGACGCUGAGGCACGAAAGCGUGGGGAGCAAACAGG